GAUGAACGCUAGCGGCAGGCCUAACACAUGCAAGUCGAGGGGCAGCACAGAAACAGCGCUGUUUUGGUGGCGACCGGCGGACGGGUGCGUAACGCGUAUGCAACCUACCUUUAACAGGGGGAUAACGGAGAGAAAUUUCCACUAAUCCCCCAUAACAUCGAUCAAGGCAUCUUGAUUGGUUGAAAACUCCGGUGGUUAAAGAUGGGCAUGCGUUGUAUUAGGUAGUUGGUGAGGUAAUGGCUAACCAAGCCUACGAUACAUAGGGGGACUGAGAGGUUGACCCCCCACACUGGUACUGAGACACGGACCAGACUCCUGCGGGAGGCAGCAGUGUGGAAUAUUGGUCAAUGGGGGCAACCCUGAACCAGCCAUGCCGCGUGCAGGAAGACGGCUCUAUGAGUUGUAAACUGCUUUUAAACAGGGAUAAAGCACAGUAUGUAUACUGUGUUGAAGGUACUGUAAGAAUAAGGAUCGGCUAACUCCGUGCCAGCAGCCGCGGUAA
rnacentral:rRNA from 1 species